rnacentral:rRNA from 1 species
CAGAGUUGAUCCUGGCUCAGGAUGAACGCUAGCUACAGGCUUAACACAUGCAAGUCGGGGGGAAACGACAUCGAAAGCUUGCUUUUGAUGGGCGUCGACCGGCGCACGGGUGAGUAACGCGUAUCCAACCUGCCCACCACUUGGGGAUAACCUUGCGAAAGUAAGACUAAUACCCAAUGAUAUCUCUAGAAGACAUCUGAAAGAGAUUAAAGAUUUAUCGGUGAUGGAUGGGGAUGCGUCUGAUUAGCUUGUUGGCGGGGUAACGGCCCACAAGGCGACGAUCAGUAGGGGUUCUGGAGAGGAAGGUCCCCCANAUUGGAACUGAGACACGGUCCAAACUCCGUACGGGAGCA